UACGGAGGGGGCUAGCGUUGUUCGGAAUUACUGGGCGUAAAGCGCACGUAGGCGGCUUUGUAAGUUAGAGGUGAAAGCCCGGGGCUACCAGUCGAAUUGCCUUUAAGACUGCAUCGCUAGAAUGUGGAGAGGUAAGUGGAAUUCCGAGUGUAGAGGUGAAAUUCGUAGAUAUUCGGAAGAACACCAGUGGCGAAGGCGACUUACUGGACACAGUAUUGACGCUGAGGUGCGAAAGCGUGGGGAGCAAACAGG
rnacentral:rRNA from 1 species